CUUUACUCUUUCUCAAUCACCCACACGAUUUCAUCCUUCCAAUUUCUUCUUCACUCCUCAUUCUCAUCUAACAAUCUUCCCUUUCUUCUCCGAAGAGUCGCUGGCACCACCACCACCAUCGUCCCUCGUGCCCAGCUCGUGCCCGCCACCACCGCCGUCACUCCUCACUUUCUUCAAACACUGAUGUUGCUUUGGGGUUUUUUGCUUUGGGGUUGUCGACGAAAAGAAUGAUCCGUUUUCUAUGGCACCCCAAAAAGCACUUGAAAGUAUUGGAAAAACAUUGAGUGUACAGUAUGAGAGGUGGCAACCCAGGGCCCGUUAUAAAGUUCAGCUGGAUCCCACUGUGGAAGAGGUAAAAAAGCUUUGUAGUACAUGUCGCAAGUAUGCAAAGACUGAACGGGUUCUCUUCCAUUAUGUUUAAAUAUUAGUGUUGAUCCACCUGAUGUAAUUAAGAUUUCACCUUGUGCCAGAAU